rnacentral:rRNA from 1 species
UACGGGGGGAGCAAGCGUUGUUCGGAUUUACUGGGCGUAAAGGGCGCGUAGGCGGCCACCGCAAGUCGACUGUGAAAUCUCCGGGCUUAACCCGGAAAGGUCAGCCGAUACUGCGGGGCUAGAGUGCAGAAGGGGCAACUGGAAUUCUCGGUGUAGCGGUGAAAUGCGUAGAUAUCGAGAGGAACACCUGCGGCGAAGGCGGGUUGCUGGGCUGACACUGAGGCACGAAGGCCAGGGGAGCAAACGGG